AUUGGUGGGGUGUGAGCCGUGAGGGGUUCUCGUCUGUAGUGGACGAGGGCCGGGUGCACAACAACAGGCAAUCGCCAGACACACUAUUGGGCCCUGAGACAACACUCGGCCGACUUCGGUUGAAGUGGUGUCCCUCCAUCUUGGUGGUGGGGUGUGGUGUUUGAGUAU
rnacentral:misc_RNA from 1 species